CUCAAUAUUGUGGAUUCAGAAUCCUCUGGUAUGUAAGCUGGACAGUUUAUCAUGGGGUUUGCAUUUUAUCUUUGUUUCUCCCCAUAGUUUUUAAUAGUGUUCCUCUCAUCCAAGGGAGAACAAGGAAAAGGGGGGGCGGAUUUCUUUGGUCCCUUCCUGUGUUUACCUCUGCCAAGGACUUUCCUCUUGAGAAUCUGUCUCUGCCCUUUUCAAGGAAGGGUUUGAAUUGUGCUGUCACCCAGACUGUGACCUUUGCAGAGCCCUGUUGGCCUGCUUGGGUUUCCACAUGCUGUGCCCUUCCCUACAUUUAGGCCUGUACCUGGAAUGCUCUCUUAUUAAAAUUUUGUCUGUCUUUCAAGGCUCAGCUCCAGAACCACCCCCUCCAAGUUGUCUUCCUGGAUUUACUCAGCCCAAAGCUAUACUUCUCUUUCCUGGGGCUCAGCAGCCUGAAGAUGGGAACGGUGCUGGUGGCUGACUGCAUCAAUCUGGAUUGGGAAGUUGUGUGGCAGGCAGGCCAUUCGUGAAGUCCUACUUAUACAAGGAACUCAACUGCCAAGUAUUGGAGACUUCGGAUGGAGGGUGAAGUGAACCAGUUUCUGUAAGAGGAGAGAUUCAGCCUCAGGUGGCCAGACUGAUCCAGGAGCUGAGGGCUGCAGGACAGUCCAGAAAGUAAGGUCACCUUCUGUCCAGGGUUAACCAGAGCCUUGGUCUUUUUCACCAAGUUCACGGC
rnacentral:lncRNA from 1 species